UACGAAGGGGGCUAGCGUUGUUCGGAAUCACUGGGCGUAAAGCGCACGUAGGCGGAUCUUUAAGUCAGAGGUGAAAUCCCAAGGCUCAACCUUGGAACUGCCUUUGAUACUGGAGAUCUUGAGUCCGGGAGAGGUGAGUGGAACUGCGAGUGUAGAGGUGAAAUUCGUAGAUAUUCGCAAGAACACCAGUGGCGAAGGCGGCUCACUGGCCCGGAACUGACGCUGAGGUGCGAAAGCGUGGGGAG
rnacentral:rRNA from 1 species